rnacentral:pre_miRNA from 1 species
ACAACAUUUGGACCGUCGGUCUACCGAGCAAUAUCCCGUUCGGUGGAAGAUCUUCCUUUCGUUGU